GGGAAGACAUAUGGGAACAUAUGUUUAUGUAUGACUGAUUCACUUUGUUAUAAAGCAGAAACUAACACACCAUUGUAAAGCAAUUAUACCCCAAUAAAGAUGUUAAAAAAAAUAACAUAAAUGCUGGAGAGGGUGUGGAGAAAAGGGAACACUCUUGCACUGCUGGUGGGAAUGUGAAUUGGUUCAGCCACUAUGGAGAACAGUAUGGAGGUUCCUUAAAAAACUACAAAUAGAACUACCAUAUGACCCAGCAAUCCCACUACUGGGCAUAUACCCUGAGAAAACCAUAAUUCAAAAAGAGUCAUGUACCAAAAUGUUCAUUGCAGCUCUAUUUACAAUAGCCUGGAGAUGGAAAGAGCCUAAGUGCCCAUCAUCGGAUGAAUGGAUAAAGAAGAUGUGGCACAUAUAUACAAUGGAAUAUUACUCAGCCAUAAAAAGAAACGAAAUUGAGCUAUUUGUAAUGAGGUGGAUAGACCUAGAGUGUGUCAUACAGAGUGAAGUAAUUCAGAAAGAAAAAGACAAAUACUGUAUGCUAACACAUAUAUAUGGAAUUUAAGAAAAAACAUGUCAUGAAGAACAUAGGGGUAAGGCAGGAAUAAAGACGCAGACCUCCUAGAGAACGGACUUGAGGUUAAGGGGAGGGGGAAGGGUGAGCUGUGACAGGGCGAGAGAGAGUCAUGGACAUAUACACACUAAUAAACGUAGUAAGGUAGAUAGCUAGUGGGAAGCAGCCGCAUGGCACAGGGAUAUCGGCUGGGUGCUUUGUGACCGCCUGGAGGGGUGAGAUAGGGAGGGUGGGAGGGAGGGAGAUGCAAGAGGGAAGAGAUAUGGGAACAUAUGUAUAUGUAUAACUGAUUCACUUUGUUAUA